CACUAAGGGGGCAGAAAGCACAUAUUAUGCACAAAUCUUUUUUGAAAAAAAUCUGAAAUUACUGGGUAAAACACAGUAUGAAAGUUAAGAAUGACAUACCAAUAGAUCCAUUUUCAGAGAAAACAGGGCAAUUUUCAUUUCACUCAUUAAGCAUGUGAGCACACAAACUUUCCUGUAGGAAACCAAAUUCGAGCUAACGUCUCCUCCUGCUCUUCCUCGAGGUCUUCAAUGAUCAGGUCAUCUGAAAGGAAAAGAAGAGAAGGCUGGCAGUUGGAGAGACUUUCUUAUAUACACUGAACAUAUCCUUGGAAAUAGACAUUACCUUCAGGUGGACUUUCCUUCUCUUUUGCCUGAGGCGGCCAGGAAGUACGUGGAGCCUACAGCGAAACAAAGAGCCACAUGGGAUAUGAUGAUCUACAGCUCAAAAUAGGCCUCAGACAGAGACCUUUCCUAAGAAAUCUCAGGGACUGGAAUCAACUUCUAUAGGCUGAAAGGUUUUACCUUUGUGGUCCUUUUGAAAAGGGGUCCACAGGGGAAGGCGGAGGGGCAGGUGGGGCGCGGGGGGGAGGACUCGGGGAGAGGGCACACUUUAUUUUUUUUCACCAUCCGCGAAAUCGCUCUUCGCAGUCUUCCAAGCCUAAAAAGGAAAGAAAAAUGGGGCUUACAGUUAGUACUCUCUCAUGCCUGUAAACCCAAGAGGAAUUCACUAUCCUCACAGAAUGCAGAUGCUGAGAGAAAUCCUAUUUACAUGUCUAUCUUCUUCCUGGAAUAAACACGAAAUGAUCCAA